rnacentral:lncRNA from 1 species
CUUUUAAGAGAAGGGUGUGGGCCUGAGUGAUGGUUCUGCAUCCAUCCAGGAAGUACUUGCUUCUUAAGCACAAGGCCCGGGUUGAAUCCAGCUCCUCUGUAAGAAGCAGGGCAAGGCAGUGUGGCUUUGUGAUGACAGCACUGGGACUGGGGAGGGGGAGACAGGAGGAUUCACCCAGUUCCCUUCCAUUCUUGGUUGACAAGGAAGGAAAAAGAUCUGGAGUCCAUCUGUCUGAGACCAGGGCUCACAAGGAAGAAGCAGAAAGAUGAGAAAGAAGAGGAUGAGGAGCAAAGGGAGACGCUCCAGAAGGGAUGCCAUCCAUGGUGGUGGGGAAG